rnacentral:rRNA from 1 species
UACGUAGGGAGCAAGCGUUGUCCGGAAUCAUUGGGCGUAAAGCGCGCGUAGGUGGCCUCAUAAGUCCGCUGUGAAAGUCAAAGGCUCAACCUUUGAAAGCCGGUGGAUACUGUGAGGCUAGAGUACGGAAGAGGCGAGUGGAAUUCCUGGUGUAGCGGUGGAAUGCGCAGAUAUCAGGAGGAACACCAAUAGCGAAGGCAGCUCGCUGGGACGUUACUGACACUGAGGCGCGAAGGUCAGGGGAGCAAACGGG